rnacentral:rRNA from 1 species
CAUGCAAGUCGAGGGGAAACGACAUCGAAAGCUUGCUUUUGAUGGGCGUCGACCGGCGCACGGGUGAGUAACGCGUAUCCAACCUGCCCACCACUUGGGGAUAACCUUGCGAAAGUAAGACUAAUACCCAAUGAUAUCUCUAGAAGACAUCUGAAAGAGAUUAAAGAUUUACCGGUGAUGGAUGGGGAUGCGUCUGAUUAGCUUGUUGGCGGGGUAACGGCCCACCAAGGCAACGAUCAGUAGGGGUUCUGAGAGGAAGGCCCCCCACAUUGGAACUGAGACACGGUCCAAACUCCUACGGGAGGCAGCAGUGAGGAAUAUUGGUCAAUGGACGAGAGUCUGAACCAGCCAAGUAGCGUGCAGGAUGACGGCCCUAUGGGUCGUAAACUGCUUUUAUAAGGGAAUAAAGUGAGUCUCGUGAGACUUUUUGCAUGUACCUUAUGAAUAAGGACCGGCUAAUUCCGUGCCAGCAGCCGCGGUAAUACGGAAGGUCCGGGCGCUAUCCGGAUUUAUUGGGUUUAAAGGGAGCGUAGGCCGGAGAUUAAGCGUGUUGUGAAAUGUAGACGCUCAACGUCUGCACUGCAGCGCGAACUGGUUUCCUUGAGUACGCACAAAGUGGGCGGAAUUCGUGGUGUAGCGGUGAAAUGCUUAGAUAUCACGAAGAACUCCGAUUGCGAAGGCAGCUCACUGGAGCGCAACUGACGCUGAAGCUCGAAAGUGCGGGUAUCGAACAGGAUUAGAUACCCUGGUAGUCCGCACGGUAAACGAUGGAUGCCCGCUGUUGGUCUGAAUAGGUCAGCGGCCAAGCGAAAGCAUUAAGCAUCCCACCUGGGGAGUACGCC